rnacentral:lncRNA from 1 species
AAUUACUCAAAAAGAGAAAAAUUAUAUAUAAACUUAGAGCUUUUCUUAUUUUCAAGCUUGAUUGAAUAAUUAGUGACAACCAGAAGUCCAACAUUUUCUUGAGGCAAACUCUCUCUACCUCGACAACGUGAUUAAGUUUAGUUUCUCUUACUAAAGAUAUGUUAAGUCUUUUAGCAAAUUCUUCAUCUAAGAAAUAUGCUAAGGCUCUUGAAUCUAACAAGACAAAGAUUUUGUAAUGUAUAGGUCUUAAAAUAAUAUUUAAUAUAAAACAAAAAGAAGAUUUUGAAGAGAAAAUAAGACCUUCCUUAGGUAUUGUACAAGAUUCUAGAUGCAUAGUCCCUAUUAUAGCUAAAAAAACUCAUUUUUUAAUAUAUUAUCUUCAUUGACAUUCAUACUCUAUAUUUUAUAAUUGUGUCACUUCUUUGGACAAUGUUGAG